GUGUAAACUUGUCCACAGAUGACUGUUGUCAGACAGAUUAAUGAAUGAAACCUGUGAAAACGACAGAAAAGGCCCCGAACUGAUGACACGGUUAAACAUUUAGGUAAAAAGCACAGAUAAAUAUUCAGGGGGAACACGCCGACUCAGCUGAU